CCUACGGGAGGCAGCAGUGAGGAAUAUUGGUCAAUGGCCGGAAGGCUGAACCAGCCAUGCCGCGUGAAGGUCAGUGCCCUAUGGGCGUUAAACUUCUUUUGUGCGGGAGCAAUAAUGGUCACGUGUGGCCAGACGAGAGUACCGUACGAAUAAGCAUCGGCUUACUCCGUGCCAGCAGCCGCGGUAAUAAGGGGGAUGCAAGCGUUAUCCGGAUUUAUUGGGGUUAAAGGGUGCGUUGGCCGGGAGGUAAGUCAGCGGGGAAAUGCCCCCGCGCAACGGGGUGAAGUGCCAUUGAUACUGCCUUGCUGGAAUGCGGAUGCCGUAGGAGGAAUGUGUGGUGUAGCGGUGAAAUGCAUAGAUAUCACACAGAACUCCGAUUGCGAAGGCAGCUCACGAAUCCGCGAUUGACGCUGAUGCACGAAAGCGUGGGUAUCAAACAGGAUUAGAUACCCUGGUAGUC
rnacentral:rRNA from 1 species